rfam:Neotoma lepida isolate 417 scaffold_3649, whole genome shotgun sequence.
GCCAUACUCAAAAUGGAGGCCCUCUCCAAGCCUUUCCAAGUGGAAAGUGCUUCCAUUUUGUGUGUUGC